rnacentral:lncRNA from 1 species
UAAUGACAACCGUUUUACGAUUUAUUUGUUAUAAAUUAAGAUCUGACAAGUUAACGGGUAGAUGUUUUGUCUCUUUUACAAAAUUUCUAAGAGGUCUAUUUUUUUAGUUGAUACAUCAUAUAUGUUUUAAUAUGUAGUUAUAGAUAUUUACUAAAUAACCCUAGAGUUCCCGACACAUGUAUUUUUUUUUCUAUUGGCUCUGAAUAACUCUAGAGUUCCUGACACAUGUUUUUUUUUCUGUUGGCUCUGUCAUUUAAAAUUUCUAACUCCAUCUUGUUCUAUUACUCCUUCCUCUUUGAAGGAUGUUGGUCGAAUUUUGCAGAGACCAAAUAGUGCCACGAUGUCUUCGCCAUGAUCACUCUCAUCGUCCGAGUUUACAGGACAAGCACACUACCUUGGCCAUGCUUUGACAAAAAAAAAGUUGAGGGAAAACAGUGGAUCAAUGAUCCACUGCAAAUAUAUUAUAUAUG